GACGAACGCUGGCGGCGUGCCUAAUACAUGCAAGUAGAACGCUGAAGCGAGGAGCUUGCUCUUCUUGGAUGAGUUGCGAACGGGUGAGUAACGCGUAGGUAACCUGCCUUGUAGCGGGGGAUAACUAUUGGAAACGAUAGCUAAUACCGCAUAACAAUGGAUGACACAUGUCAUUUAUUUGAAAGGGGCAAUUGCUCCACUACAAGAUGGACCUGCGUUGUAUUAGCUAGUAGGUGAGGUAACGGCUCACCUAGGCGACGAUACAUAGCCGACCUGAGAGGGUGAUCGGCCACACUGGGACUGAGACACGGCCCAGACUCCUACGGGAGGCAGCAGUAGGGAAUCGUCGGCAAUGGGGGCAACCCUGGCCGAGCAACGCCGCGUGAGUGAAGAAGGUUUUCGGAUCGUAAAGCUCUGUUGUAAGUCAAGAACGAGUGUGAGAGUGGAAAGUUCACACUGUGACGGUAGCUUACCAGAAAGGGACGGCUAACUACGUG
rnacentral:rRNA from 1 species